rnacentral:rRNA from 1 species
GAAUAGGCCCAAGCGACUGUUUACCAAAAACAUAGGUUUCUGCUAAGUCGCAAGACGAUGUAUAGGAGCUGACGCCUGCCCGGUGCUGGAAGGUUAAGGGGAUCUGUUAGAGCAAUCGAAGCAGUGAACUUAAGCCCCAGUAAACGGCGGCCGUAACUAUAACGGUCCUAAGGUAGCGAAAUUCCUUGUCGGGUAAGUUCCGACCCGCACGAAAGGCGUAACGAUUUGGGCACUGUCUCAACAACAGACUCGGUGAAAUUGUAAUUCCGGUGAAGAUGCCGGAUACCUGCGACAGGACGGAAAGACCCCAUGGAGCUUUACUGUAGCUUGACAUUGGGUCUUGGUACUACAUGUACAGGAUAGGUGGGAGGCUUUGAAACCAGGACGCCAGUUUUGGCGGAGCCAUCCUUGGGAUACCACCCUUGUAGUACUGGGACUCUAACCAUAGGCCAUGAAUCUGGUCUUGGGACACUGUCAGGUGGGCAGUUUGACUGGGGCGGUCGCCUCCCAAAAGGUAACGGAGGCGCUCAAAGGUUCUCUCAGUACGGUCGGAAAUCGUACGUAGAGUGUAAAGGCAAAAGAGAGCUUGAUUGCAAGACAUACAGGUCGAGCAAGGAUGAAAAUCGGACUUAGUGAUCCGGUGGUUCUGCGUGGAAGGGCCAUCGCUCAACGGAUAAAAGCUACCCUGGGGAUAACAGGCUUAUCUCCCCCAAGAGUCCACAUCGACGGGGAGGUUUGGCACCUCGAUGUCGGCUCAUCACAUCCUGGGGCUGUAGUAGGUCCCAAGGGUUGGGCUGUUCGCCCAUUAAAGUGGUACGCGAGCUGGGUUCAGAACGUCGUGAGACAGUUCGGUCCCUAUCCGUCGCAGGCGUAGGAAAUUUGAGAAGACCUGUCCUUAGUACGAGAGGACCGGGAUGGACGUACCUCUGGUGUACCAGUUGUCCUGCCAAGGGCAUGGCUGGGUAGCUAUGUACGGAAUGGAUAAGCGCUGAAAGCAUCUAAGCGCGAAGCCAACUUCAAGAUAAGAUUUCCCACCGCAAGGGUAAGACCCCAGAAAGACUAUCUGGUUGAUAGGUCGAAGGUGUAAGUGCAGCAAUGUAUUUAGCUUAUCGAUACUAAUAGGUCGAGGACUUGACCAA